rnacentral:lncRNA from 1 species
AGGGGAGUGAAUGAUAUUUAUAUAUUUAAAUAUAUUUCUUGAAUAAAAAUAAAAAUAUGCCAUAAUUUAAAUUGAAAAUGAGUGAAAAAUGAGUGAACAGAACGGAAAAAAUACCAGACUCAGAAAUACACUUUUAAUAUUGGUAAUAUCACGAGGCUUUUUGAGUACCAAACACACCUUCGCUGUAGUAAUGACUCGUUACUUAGGCAUUUCACUUCACGCAUUUAUUUCAUUUUUUGAUACAGUGAAUUCUUUGUAUUAUUACAUUAACAUGUAGCCUUUGUAUAUAUAUAUAUAUUUGUAAAAAAUCGAAUCUAAAGCCAAAUAUAUCAAACAUUUUUUCCCCAUUUAAUAUGUGUUUUCAGGACUCAAAAAACUAAAAAAGGUAAAAUGCGAUACAAUGAUUGCCCAUUUUUACACCCCUCCCUCCAAAAAAAAAAAAAACUUUUGCCGGAUAGGGAGAGGGAGGGGUCAGAUAUGCAAAUUAAAAUAAAUAUUUUAUCUUUUCGUGUACGUUUUUUUUUCACUUGAAUUUAUACUUGUUUGCACCAACAGAAAUCGGUUUAAAAGAUAUAAAUGUGCUAUUAAUUUCAAAAAUUAAAAUAUCUCGUAGCUUCAUACUACCAAUUGAGUAUAAUUAUCCA